rnacentral:rRNA from 1 species
UACGUAGGGUGCGAGCGUUAAUCGGAAUUACUGGGCGUAAAGUGUGCGCAGGCGGCGGAGCAAGUCGAGUGUGAAAGCCCCGGGCUUAACUUGGGAAUUGCGCUCGAAACUACUUUGCUGGAGUGUGGCAGAGGAAGGUGGAAUUCCACGUGUAGCGGUGAAAUGCGUAGAGAUGUGGAGGAACACCAAUGGCGAAGGCAGCCUUCUGGGCCAACACUGACGCUCAUGCACGAAAGCGUGGGGAGCAAACAGG